rnacentral:misc_RNA from 1 species
GAUGAAGAACGCAGCGAAAUGCGAUAAGUAGCGUGAAUUGCAGAAUUCAGUGAAUCAUCGAAUCUUUGAACGCACAUUGCGCCCCUUGGUAUUCCAUGGGGCAUGCCUGUUCGAGCGUCAUUUGUACCCUCAAGCUUUGCUUGGUGUUGGGUGUUUGUCCUCUCCUUUGCGUUUGGACUCGCCUUAAAGCAAUUGGCAGCCAGUGUUUUGGUAUUGAAGCGCAGCACAUUUUGCGAUUCUAGCCGAUAAUACUUGCGUCCAUAAGCCUUUUUUAACUUUUGACCUCGGAUCAGGUAGGGAUACCCGCUGAACUUAAGCAUAUCAAUAAGCGGAGGA